GACGAACGCUGGCGGCGUGCUUAACACAUGCAAGUCGAACGGAAAGGCCCCUUUGGGGGUACUCGAGUGGCGAACGGGUGAGUAACACUUGAGUAACCUUCCCUUUACUUCGGGAUAACUUCAGGAAACUGGGGCUAAUACCGGAUAGGAAUCCUUGCUGCAUGGUGGGGGUUGGAAAGCUUCGGCGGUUUUGGAUGGACUCGCGGCUUAUCAGCUUGUUGGUGGGGUAGUGGCUUACCAAGGCUUUGACGGGUAGCCGGCCUGAGAGGGCGACCGGCCACAUUGGGACUGAGAUACGGCCCAGACUCCGACGGGAGGAAGAAGGGGGGAAUAUUGCACAAUGGGCGGAAGCCUGAUGCAGCAACGCCGCGUGCGGGAUGACGGCCUUCGGGUUGUAAACCGCUUUCAGCAGGGGAGAAGCUUGUGGUGACGGUACCUGAAGAAGAAGCACCGGCUAACUACGUG
rnacentral:rRNA from 1 species